rnacentral:rRNA from 1 species
ACGGACUAGCCAAUGAAAUUGAUCCUCCAGUACAAAAGCUGGAAUUAGCCCAUAAGACGAGAAGACCCUGUGGAGCUUCAAAACCAAAAAUCACCAAACAUGCUUCAUGGGUUUUUAGUUGGGGCGACUUUGGAGCAAAAAAAACCCUCCAAACAUAAAUCUAUUUAUUAAGACUAACACACCAAAAAAAUAUUAUAGACCCAGCAGUAUCUAUUUACUGUCUGACCAAUGAACCAAGUUACCCCAGGGAUAACAGCGCCAUCCUCUUCUAGAGUCCUUAUCGACAAGAGGGUUUACGACCUCGAUGUUGGAUCAGG